rnacentral:misc_RNA from 1 species
AACAAGACAGAAGAUAGUCAAUCUUACUGUCGUGCAUACCUAAAGCGGGUCUGCCGCCUUCGUUUCUCUUUCUUCGCGAAUGACUAACCUCCCUUUGGCUAAGCCCACAAGGCGUGCCUUGCCGGUGCAAUUGGUGCCAGCAGGGUUCGGUUUAGGGCUUGUAGCUCAGUUGGUUAGAGCGCGCGCUUGAUAAGCGUGAGGUCGGAGGUUCAAGUCCUCCCAGGCCCACCAUUUCCUCCGCCCGCAUGAUCCCAGAAAGUUGCAGACUUUUUGGAUAAGGUUAUGCGUUUGGGACAUGAAGGUUAUCAGGGGCCGUAGCUCAGCUGGGAGAGCGCCUGCUUUGCAAGCAGGAUGUCGUCGGUUCGAUCCCGUCCGGCUCCACCAACCGUCUUCUUUGAAGAUGGGGCGUGUCGAGUAGAGAUGGUUGCCGGUGGUUGGUCAUUCGAAAAUGAGUUUGCGCCGAGCCUAGUGCUCUGCGCCUGUUCUGUUUGACAUCGUAAAGAGAAGAUUUGUUCGAACUUCAUGAGCCGCAAGGUUUCAUGAUUUGUCGCAAGAGACGCUCAAUCUCUUGCAUAUGAUGGGUAAGCCUAACCGCGCCCUCGAACCGAUCUCGAGAAGCUGGUCUUUUUGUG